GACGAACGCUGGCGGCAUGCCUAAUACAUGCAAGUCGAGCGGAGUUGACGAGAAGCUUGCUUCUCUGAUACUUAGCGGCGGACGGGUGAGUAACACGUAGGCAACCUGCCUUUCAGUUUGGGAUAACUUCCGUAAACGGAUGCUAAUACCGAAUACAUCAUCUUCUGGCAUCAGAGAAUGAGGAAAGACGGCGCAAGCUGUCACUGAGAGAUGGGCCUGCGGCGCAUUAGCUAGUUGGUGGGGUAAUGGCUCACCAAGGCGACGAUGCGUAGCCGACCUGAGAGGGUGAACGGCCACACUGGGACUGAGACACGGCCCAGACUCCGACGGGAGGCAGCAGUAGGGAAUCUUCCACAAUGGGCGAAAGCCUGAUGGAGCAAUGCCGCGUGAGUGAUGAAGGUUUUCGGAUCGUAAGGCUCUGUUGCCAGGGAAGAACGUCCGGGUGAGUAACUGCACCCGGAGUGACGGUACCUGAGAAGAAAGCCCCGGCUAACUACGUGCCAGCCGCCGCAGUAA
rnacentral:rRNA from 1 species